UACGGGGGGGGCAAGCGUUGUUCGGAAUUACUGGGCGUAAAGGGCUCGUAGGCGGCCAACUAAGUCAGACGUGAAAUCCCCAGGCUCAACCGGGGAACUGCGUCUGAUACUGGAUGGCUUGAGUUCGGGAGAGGGAUGCGGAAUUCCAGGUGUAGCGGUGAAAUGCGUAGAUAUCUGGAGGAACACCGGUGGCGAAGGCGGCAUCCUGGACCGAUACUGACGCUGAGGAGCGAAAGCCAGGGGAGCAAACGGG
rnacentral:rRNA from 1 species